ACGGAAGGCAGCAGUGGGGGAUAUUGCACAAUGGAGGAAACUCUGAUGCAGCGACGCCGCGUGAGGGAAGACGGUUUUCGGAUUGUAAACCUCUGUCUUCAGGGACGAUAAUGACGGUACCUGAGGAGGAAGCCACGGCUAACUACGUGCCAGCAGCCGCGGUAUACGUAGGUGGCGAGCGUUGUCCGGAAUUACUGGGUGUAAAGGGAGCGUAGGCGGGUAUGCAAGUUGAAUGUGAAAUCUAUCGGCUCAACUGAUAGGCUGCGUUCAAAACUGUAUAUCUUGAGUGAAGUAGAGGCAGGCGGAAUUCCUGGUGUAGCGGUGAAAUGCGUAGAUAUCAGGAGGAACACCGGUGGCGAAGGCGGCCUGCUGGGCUUUUACUGACGCUGAGGCUCGAAAGCAUGGGUAGCAAACAGGAUUAGAUACCCUGGUA
rnacentral:rRNA from 1 species